AAAAAGACAAACUCUGGUAUCCGUGUGCAACGUUUGAUCGUCCGUCUUAUUUAAAAAUAUUAUGAAAAAAUUAAAAAGACAAGUCACGCAUAAAGUAUUAAUCAAGUUUUAUCAUCUAACAACGAUGAAAAUACUAAUUAUAAAAAAAUUUCAUAUAAGACGGACAGUCAAACGUUGGCACGGAAACCCAGGAUUUGCCUUUUU
rfam:Oryza sativa Japonica Group DNA, chromosome 5, cultivar: Nipponbare, complete sequence.